GGGCCGUUAGUUCAGUUGGUUAGAGCACCUAGCUCAUAACUAGGGAGUCGGAGGUUCGAGUCCUCCACGGCCCA
rnacentral:tRNA from 1 species